rnacentral:tRNA from 1 species
GGAGUUGUGGCUCAGUGGUAGAGCGCUUGCCUAGCAUGUGGGAAGCCCUGGGUUCGAUUCUCAGCACUGCA